UCAGUAACAGGGAGGGACAGGAACAACAGUCAGUAAAAGGGAGGGACAGGAAGAACAGUCAGUAACCGGAAGAACAGUCAGUAACAGGAAGAGCAGUCAGUAACAGGGAGGGACAGGAACAACAGUCAGUAACAAACAGUAAGUAACAGGGAGGGACAGGAACAACAGUCAGUAACAGUCAGUAACAGGAAGAACAGUCAGAAACAGGGAGGGACAGGAACAACAGUCAGUAACAGGGAGGGACAGGAACAACAGUCAGUAACAGUCAGUAACAGGAAGAGCAGUCAGUAACAGGGAGGGACAGGAACAACAGUCAGUAACAGGGAGGGACAAGAAGAACAGUCAGGAACAGGAAGAACAGUCAGUAACAGGGAGGGACAGGAACAACAGUCAGUAACAGGGAGGGACAGGAACAACAGUCAGUAACAGGAAGAACAGUCAGUAACAGGGAGGGACAGGAACAACAGUCAGUAACAGGAAGAACAGUCAGUAACAGGGAGGGACAGGAAGAACAGUCAGUAACCGGAAGAACAGUCAGUAACAGGGAGGGACAGGAACAACAGUC
ensembl:lncRNA